GGUUAUAAUUUUUUCGGUUCAUUUUUGGUUCGGUUGUAUUUUUUAGCUUUUUGGUUUAAGACAUAUGGGAAAGAAACCUUUCAAUUGUUUAUAAAAUAUGGGUUUUGUUUUUGGUUUGAUUCAAAUAACAAAGUUAGGAAUCUGAGACUAUUUGAUUCGGUUUCGGUUUCUUGGAUAAUUUUGAAUAAUUUCGGUAAAAAUAGAAUUUUGAUUUUUGUAGAUGAAAAAUUAGGUAACUUGGUUAAAUUCAAAUAUUUCAGAUAAAAUAUUCAGGUGGUUAGAUUUUUGGCAAAUUUGGAUAUUUCUCUUAAAUAUUUCGGAGAAAAAUUAAUAAGGAUAUCCGUUUUAUUAUUAUUUCAAUUUAUAAGUAAUUAGAAAAAUCAUAUUUAUUAAUGAUUUUUAUAAAAGAAUAUAUUUAGAGAAAAAAAUCAUAUUGAUUAAUGAAUAAAUCAUUU
rnacentral:lncRNA from 1 species